rnacentral:rRNA from 1 species
AACGAACGCUGGCGGCAGGCUUAACACAUGCAAGUCGAACGCAUGCCUUCGGGCAUGAGUGGCAGACGGGUGAGUAACGCGUGGGAACCUACCCCUUGGUACGGGAUAGCUCCGGGAAACAGGAGAUAAUACCGUAUGUGUCCUGAGGGACAAAGAUUCAUCGCCAAGGGAUGGGCCCGCGUCGGAUUAGCUAGUUGGUGGGGUAACGGCCUACCAAGGCGACGAUCCGUAGCUGGUCUAAGAGGAUGAUCAGCCACAUUGGGACUGAGACACGGCCCAAACUCCUACGGGAGGCAGCAGUGGGGAAUAUUGGACAAUGGGCGCAAGCCUGAUCCAGCCAUGCCGCGUGAGUGAUGAAGGCCCUAGGGUUGUAAAGCUCUUUCACCGGUGACGAUAAUGACGGUAACCGGAGAAGAAGCCCCGGCUAACUUCGUG